GCUCCAGGUGAAUUGGAUUCCCAGACAGAUAGCUGCAUGGUGAUUAGGCUGCAACUGUGCAGGGGUUGGCUCCCAAAGAAAAUGGGCUGGGAUGUUCAGUGUAAAGUCUUAAAGUCAUUUGUGCAUUUACCUUGUUAGGGAUUGGGGUCUUGGUUAGUAAGGGUCAAACAAAGCAGUUAGAGCUGGACAAGCUUAGGUUUUUUUUUUGUUUUCUAUAUUUAGUUUUUUGUUUCUCUUUGGAAAAGCCUCUAAUAAACUGGCCAAAGACCAGCUAUAGUCAAUUGAACUGUCUGCGCCUCUGUUUUGGAAUGUCCGGAAGUGCAUGUAACGGUCUAUUCUGCAGUGAGACCACACACCAACUAACUGAAAUCGCUAUAUGUAGAAAUAAAUCUACCGAUGCCCUGAGUUCAGAGACAUUCAUUCAAAGUUUAACCUUUAUACGCAAUAACUAAUCCUGUGGUUGGGAAUAAAACGGCACCUCAUUAAAGCAUGCUCGGCUGCCUUUUUAAAUUAGAACUUUGAAACUACUGGAUGGAUGUUAAAAGCAAAGAGAAGACUACACCAAAUGUGGACAUCAAAAGUGGGCUUGGACCAAAAAGACUGGUAUUUUCUGCUUUAAAAGGACAUACACUUUCCAGAAAACUCACCCAUUUGCACACCUUAUUCUUCUAGGUAGGCGAAUGAAUGAGAAGCCAUACCAUUUUUUUCUGAUAUUAUUUUGUAAUCAAACUACAGAAAUGCACAUAUACUGCUGUUAGGGGUUCAGAUCUUCACAAAAAAUAUGUAUGGUGGUUCCAGCAAUAAUCAAUGAUAUGAUUAUUAUAGCAAUGAUAUGGUUGUUCACUGAAUCUUCUUUCAUUGAGUGGUACACGGGUUAUAGAGAGCUGAGCAAAAGUUUAGAGUAGUGUCACUAUAACAGGACAGCAACAACAAAAAAUUUAAAUACUUUAAAGUAAAUAAAAUAUAAUGUGCUCUUCCCCUGCAUUGGCAAAAAUUUGUGUUAUUUUAACAAACACUACUAGUUAAUGUUAAUAAGCUGCUGUAUAACCAUGGGGGCAGCCAUUCAAGCUAAAUAAAAAGAGAAAUACACAUGUUAACAUAGUAGAUGAAAGAUACACUCUGUAGAUUACAAUGAUGUAGUUCUUACACAUGAAGUUGAACAGGGAUCACAAGCCAUGCCUCUCUACCAAAUUAUAUAAUGAAUGCCUUUCACAUACAAAAUAGGACACUUGUUGCCAAGAAAUGGCUUAAUUGAAGGUUCUAGAUCAACUGAUACAUACAUUAAACAAUGCUACUGCUUCUUUAAGAAACCAGCCCUGAUCUUGCUAGACUACAUCUCCCACAUGCUUUAACUCUAAAUAUUAUGAGAGUUUUAUUCCAGCAACAUAUAAGGGGAGAAUUUUAUCUCCCCUUUGUAUUUAUGUGAAUAUACAGUGUGUUCCACUAAAUGUAUUGUUUUACCUAAAAUUGUAAAAUCCAUUUUAUCAGUAGCAUUUCCUUAAAAACUACUUCUCAAUUCCUGUGCUCUGGAAGUAAUAGAGGCCACUUGGAAAAACUCGGUAUAGAAACAUCGAUCUACGUAUUUACUGUUUUUCAUUUAUUUGUAGGGCACGUGUUAGGUCUAUCCAAUUUCAUUCUUAAUAAAUACUUAAUACAUUCUUAGUGCCUUUUUUUGCAUUUUAGCCCGGAAAGACGUGGACACAAACGUAGAUUGUAUGUGUGAGCUCCUCUAAAAUAUGACGUGACCUACCAAAAUAAAAUCUGUCAGUCAGACAGAGUAGAGAAUGAAAUGGGAAACUCACACAUCGAGCUUAACUUCUCUGGGAACCUACUGUUCUUUUCUUGUGCUCAGAGAUCUUAAUGCUGCUGCAAAGGUCACUCCCUGUGUGAGAAUUCUUAGCUCUGUUUCCAGUGAAAUGAUUACG